UAAGAGGCCAAGUAGUCAUUAGAACUGUACUGGAAUGAGGGUCUUGAUGUCAUUGCUCUCCAUGUGUGGUGUUCCUCCACUUUCAUUACUCACUUGGAAAAAAGCAGAGCCGGAGGUGACUUUCAGUACAUCAGCAGCGAGAAGGGGAAGAACAUGUCCCUGCUGAGCUCUCAUGCGAGGAUGAACUUGGAGGUCCAGCAACUGCACAUGGGAGAGAACCAACAGCUACCUGUGGGGAUGCUCUGGCAAGGAUGUCACCUCCAUCAGCUGGAGUCCUCAGCAUACAUCACCUCCACCAGCAGAGCACCCACAACAAAACCCUGUUGCUGGACUGGCUGGUCACUGUAGUGAAGGUCAGGGUGUCGAGGAUGUGGCAUGGGAGUGGGAUAGGGACCAGUAAGACCAUGCCUUCAGGGACCAGCUCCUCACCAAUGAGGAGAAGCACCUUACCCUCCUUGAGAGGAUGAUAGAGGCCCAGAAGCAGCAGGCUGCCAUGGUGGCCCAGGCAGGGGAGCCAAUGGAGGAGAACUGCCAGGUGCUGUACACCAUCAUGGCCCUGGUGGUCACCUUUGUGGUGUCCACUACCCAACCUCUAGCUCUGCCUGCCCCCUGGCAGCUGGCCACCACCCAGCCUCCAGUCCCAGCUCUGGACCUAGCCCUGGCCUGCUUCUGGCAGCUGCCUGUCACCCAGCCUCCAGCUUCAGCCACACCUGCCCCCUGGUGGCUGCCAGUGACCCCAUGCCUCCUCAGUGGGCCUGGGAGGAGGUCCAGCAGCACCUGCAGCAGCCAGUGCCUCCUGUGGCAGAAUGCCAUCUCUGUCUCUCCCCAAACUCUGUUAUCAGGCUGAUGACCUAUCUCACAAUUUGGUUACCAUGGUCACUGGACAGCAGACACCCUGGACCCCAUUGGCUUCAGGUAAUCCUGGGUUAUAACCUGAGCUGGAUACAUUUCUGAGAGAGGGGGAAACAAGCUCCCUCUGCCUAUAUGACUGGCCUAACACACCUGGGUGGGGGCUUAAACUCCUAUUGUCUUAAGUGAUAUCAUCAUGACUGGGAGAGGUCUAGAGACCCUGCCAGUCUACCUGGCAACCAGUGAUGCAUUUCAAAUUGGUUGGCUGGCAGCCAACAACUUCUGGCCUUCAUUGGAUGAGGUAAAUGAGGUCAUAAGGUCUAUAUAACUUAAAGACUGCCCAGGAGGAGGAGCAGCAGCCAUAAUGAAAACUCUCAGAGAAGCUGGACCAUCUGAAACUUGCUCUCUCUCUUGAAACCUCAUGGUCAAUGAACUACUUGCCUCCAGAAGAAAUCUCCACCUGCCUCUGGAUGAUACUUGUGAGUAAGCUACCUGAGAUCUAACUAGAUAUAUAGCUUGCAGUAAUACAGAUGCAUAAUCAAAGGCUACCAUGCCACUGUUUGCUGUAAGAGAUUUCUCUGACAUUGCACUACCCUGUACCCUAUUCCAAACCUACUCCUUGUAACCAAUAAAGUUCUCCUCUGUACCUAGCAUGGGAGACUUCUUGGGAGAGGGUCUAGAUUAUGCAUUGGGGUUCCCUUGGUUCAGCUGACUAAGGGAGACCACUAUUUCAUAGAUUUCAUAGACAUUGGGGCUGGAAGGGACCUCAGAAGAUCAUUGAGUCCAGCCUCCUGCCCCAGGGGCAGGAAGUCAGCAGGGAUCAUAGGAUCCUAGAAAGAGAAACAUCCAGAUGUCUUUUGAAGGUGUUCAGAGUAGGUGCUUGAGCUACCUCUGGUGGCAAUCUAUUCCAAACCUUGGGGGCUCAGACAGUAAAGAAGUUCUUCCUUAUGUUCAUCCUGAAACAGUCAUGGAGGAGUUUGUGACCAUUCAACCUUGUUAUCCCUUGGGGCACUCUGGUGAACAUGUAUCAUGAACUGAACUAUUGUAGAUAAUGUUAACAUAGAAUGUAAUAAAAGUAAAUAUAACCAUGUUAGUCUUGUCCUAUAAGCAACAUGAAAACUCCAUUUUGUAUCCUUCUGCUUGACAUAAGUGAAUGAACUCUGCAUAGCCUUUAUGUACGAGUGUGUGUAAAAGGGUAAAUGGUGAGAGAAUGGCAUAGAGAUGGGAGAAGAAGAUUUAACUGUUUAUGUAAGCAACAAGACACCAAAUAUAAGUUACCACCCAAUAACUAACUAACAAAUGGUUGAAGAAUCCCUUUGAAGCUCGAGGGCACAAAGAACAUAACAGAAGAAGAAAUUCUACCAGACAGGCAACAUGAACACUCCAAAGCUAAAAUAAGCUGAAGACAGAAGAAGAGCAACUGCAAAAACAGAAGCUGGGUAUGGAAAAACCUCAAAGCACUGAAACAAAGGAUGCGAAUCCCUAUAAAAGAACACUUUGAAACGGCCAAGUUGGGUGAGUCUUUUUCUCUCCUGCUGUUUCAUUGGAGCACAGAUGCAUCUGUUCACCCCGCUCCAGCUGUUAUCUUUAAAUCUGCUAUCUUCAAAUCAUCAUCAUCUACUCAAUAAGCCAGGGUUGGCCACCCUGGGCUGAUAUUAAGCACUAUUGCUGGUAACUAUAUCUAGUGUAUGUGUGGAUAAAAUAGUUGUUUUGUGUAUGUGUAUGCCUGUGUGUAAUGAUGUGUAUGAUGAUUUGUGUUUGUAUAAAUGGUGUGCCCAAACCUCUAUGUCUAACUCACGUAAUCAAUAAAUGUGGCACCUUGCCUUA